rnacentral:lncRNA from 10 species
UUUUCAGAUGGCCAUUGACUGCAGGUAACUGAAACUGUGGAAAGUGAAACCACAAAUAAGUGGGGACCACUGUGCCUUCCUCUUUUGCCACUACCUCCCAAGAUGCCAGUACCAGGCAACCAGCACCCCUACUUUGGAGAUCUGGAUCCCAUGAUUCCCUCCUUUCAACUCGGAGACCCCAGUACCAGCCAAGUAGUGGCUCCUCCCCAGAGGUCUGAGUUUCAUCUCCGUGGGACUACUUCUCCAAUCAUCUAAAUUUUAAAGACGCGGUCUAGCUAUGUUGCCCAGGCUGAUCUCAAAUUCCUGCCUUCAAGCAAUCCUCCCCUCUCAGCCUCCCAAAGUGCUGGGAUUACAGACCAAGUCUUACCCACCUCAUCAGAGGCAGGAGAAAGUCAGCCCAAUGGCCCAGCCUCUCCUCUGCAAGGAUUGUCUCCCUCACCUCCUGGAAAAGUGAGCAGCUCCAGCGCUCUCCCAUAGUGCCUCCAGCAUCCAUCAGCCUAGCUGGCGAGUGUGCCCCCACCCCUGCCCCUGACUGUCACCAUCCACUUAGGGGAGAGAGGAACACAGGAGCCAAGAAUGCAGUGGAGCAUGGGCACUCCUCUGUGAUAAACACCCACAAAAAUUAAGCCAUUCUAGAGACGGCAGCGGCUGUUCAUACUUCAAAGGUUGUCUCUUUACACGUCUUCUCUGCCCUCCUUUUACAAAGUUUGAACAAUUCUAUUAAAGAGUUCAGGCCGGGUGCGGUGGCUCAUAUCUGUAAUCCCAGCACUUUGGGAGACUGAGGUGGGUGGAUCACCUGAGGUCAGGAGUUCCAGACCAGCCUGGCCAACAUGGUGAAACCUCAUCUCUAUUAAAAAUACAAAAAUUAGCCUGGCGUGAUGGCGCAUGCCUCUAAUCCCAGCUACUUGGGAGGCUGAGGUAGGACAAUCACUUGAACCUGGGAUGUGGAGGUUUCAGUGAGCCAAGAUUGCACCACUGCACUCCAGCCUGGGCAAUGAGAGCAAAACUCAGUCUCAAAAAAAAAAAAAAAAAAAAGAGGUCAGCAUUGUCUAAAUAUCAAUUAACCUGGGUGAAUAUGAACAUGCGAUCAAAGCGAAUCUUCUUAAACCCCUGAGAAACAGAUUCCUAUUACUGCAUUACAAAGAGAAUUAUGGUAGUGUUGACCAUGGCCUUGUGAAAAAGUCAGACAGUCUCAAAACUGUCAACCAAGAAGGCAGCUCAGUUACCUUUGGGGGCAUCUACAGUUGCAAUUUUGAAUAUUUUUCCAACAUUGUUCUUUCCUGAUUACCUGUCUUAUUAUAUCUGGGUCUUGGCAGGAGAAUACAUUCAUGACUUAAUAGAUCUUUUUAUAUUUCAUUUAGAGACCCUUCCAUUUGACUUAUCAAAGUCAAGUAUAUUUGAUUUCCUUAACACUGUAUUUUAUUAUUAAUUGUAUCUGUGUGUAUCCAUAUUAAAGUCUUCCGCCAGGUGUGGUGGCUCACUCUGUAAUCCCAGCAUUUUGGGAGGCCAAAACAGAAGGAUUACUUGAGGUCAGCAGUUGGAGAGCAGCCUGGCCAACAUGGUGAAGCCCCAUCUCUAUCAAAAAACACAAAAAAUACAAAGUACCAGGAGUGGUGGCACACGACAGUGAUCCCAGCUACUUGGGAGGCUGAGGUGGGAGGAUCACUUGAGCCCAGGAGGUGGAGGUUGCAGUGAGCCAAGAUCACGCCAUUGCACUCCAGCCUGGGUGAUAGAGUGAGACUCUGUCUCAAAAUGAAAUAAAGUCCUUAUAAGAAGUAUCCUCAUGUUUACUAAGAGGAUACAAAAUGAAAGUAUAAAAAUCUCCAUUGUUUUUAAACAUUUUAUCACAAAGGUCAUAAUAGGGUAAUCUCAAUUUCUUAGCCUGUGUGAGCCUCUGUUUAUUUCCUCUGAGACUUAAAUGAGACAAUAUGAUACUUUACCCUGGAAAAUCAUGAAUGAUAAAGAGCAAAGUGUGCUGAUUAGAGUAUUUUUCUCAACCUCUAUUGCCCUUUUGGGUUCUUUUCUCAAAGAAUUACACACACGGAGCUGCAUUCUUCUAUGAAGAGCUCAUAAAUAGAAUGAUUUCCCAACAAUAUUGAAUCACCAAAGGGUGAAAACCUGAUUCUAUUCUGAUCCCAGAAAAUAAGUAACGGUUGCUUUUCUGUUAGUGAAUGGAAAUAAAAUGGUUAAAAUGUAAUAAAACACCUCUGAUCCUUCUCAUUUUGUAAAAGCAAAAUGAGAAAGGAACACUUAGACUAUGCCAGAAAGAGAAUAGGAUGUGGGCUUAAAGAUGAAAGAAACCCUAGAAAAGAAAUUAUUAGAAUAAUGAGGAGGUCAAGAAAAGAUCCACAUGAACACACACGAACAAAAACAGAUGAACUUGUUUAAAUCACAGAACAAUGAGCAUGUAUUGCCCAGAAAAAUGGAGGUAACUAGAACUCAAACAAAUAUCAUAGAGCAUUUGAGGAAAAGACAGAAAACUUGUUAGGCACAGAUUGAAGGAAAGGACAUUCUAGGAAGGAGAAAUAACAGAAAUGCUAUAUAAAUUUAGCUAUAGUGCUGCAUUUAUAUAGCAUUUUACUGUUUCAAACCAUUUUCAUAUUAUCCCAUUUAUUCUCCAAAAGAGCCAUAAAAUAGAGAGUUUAUUUAUUCACUUGCCUCGUUAAAAUGGAUUCCAGAGGCUUAGUAUGGGAUGUCGAGUAUGACGAGACUAAUAAGAAAAGUGAGGCAAAAGAAAAAAUAAAACAAAAAUAGAUAUUAUGUGAAGUCAGAAAUGAAUAGUUAUUAAUGAUAUUAUUAACAUUACAUUAUUAAAUAUUCUUAGAUUAAUAUUAUUCUGAUGCUAAAUUAUUAUUAUUAGUGCUCUAUUACCCCCAACAAGGUCAAAUGAGUCCCAGGUCAACUAAAGAGUGGCAGAUUCUAGACUUAGAAUCAUUUAACUGGUGUUCUUUCUUUUAAAAUCAUCAGCAAUUACUAAGGGGGGGCAGUCCCUAAAAAUAACAGAUAAAAAAAGCAGCCUGCAAGCUCUCAAAGAAAUUUUGAGUUUUUUGCAGAUUUACUUCUGUAUGCAUUUUCUACAACCACUUGAAUAAUGGAUCAUCGCACAGUAGUUGCUCUAAAUCAAUGUAAGAUUGUCUUAGGAGAGAAUCUUGUGAAACCAGAAGGAUCUGCGGGUUACUUACCUCUCCUCUCAUUCUUUUGUAGAUUUCUCCCUAGACCAGAGGUUAUUUUGGGGCUUUCUCAUGAAUACAGAUAACUGUGCAGUACUCUCUAGGGUUUUGGUAGCUUUGCGAAGUAAUUAAAUAGUAAUGCUCCUGAGAUGCCGCUACUGGGCAGUGACUGGGGGAGUAAGAUCAGGGGUGAGGUUUGUGAUCUUGAGGAGGAUAAUAAUGCAUUCAAUGAUGAAACAUAAGGAGGCAGCCUGAGAGGCGGAUUAAAGGGAAGGGCUUCGAAUGAGAAUGCUACACACAAGCCCAAAUCUGCUACUUAGCAUAUGUUUGUGGGCAAGUUACUGUUCCUCUCUGCUAUUACCCUUUAUCCCAUGCAAAAUUGAGAUAAUAGCCAUUACUGCCUUGUGCAGUGGAUAUAAAAAUUAAAUGAGAUAAAGCAUGAAAACAUUUAGAAGAGGGCUUGAUACAUAGUGCUGGAAAAGAAAAAAAGCUCUAUUAUGAUUUCACAAGUGCUGGAAGUGACUUUCUGAUAAAAGGGCUUUAAUUGACUUCCUUUAUCUCUUCAACCUGCUGACUUAUGGUAACGGCAUACAGACUGUGCACAGGGAGGCCCUUGUGUCAGAGAGGCAUCUGCCCAUCACCCAGCCCUUCCCACUGACUAGCAAAGCAGGUGGGCUGCAUUUAACAAAGAAUACAGGAAGGAAGCAAAACCUCCCAAAGAAACCAAUUGACUAAAACUUCGCACUUAAAGACACCACUUUGAACACAUGUAAAAGCCAAACCCAAAACAGAUUUAGUUUGAAGGGUUGUGUAUAACCCAUAAAGAGGAGCAAAGCAAUCUUUUCAAUAGACUACUGGCCUGCCUAGUAUAUUUGCUUCCCAAAGAAGGAGAAGCUCACUCAAGAGCCUCAAGUCCUUCACUCAGCACCAUUUCUGCUAUUGGAGGGCCACAAGUAUACUGCUACAGCCAAAACCAGGAGAUUGACCUUCCAGAACAGACCUCAGAAUGUGCACAUCCAGGAGAUGGAAUAGAAGGGCACUGAUCGUGGAUCUUCCUAAUCCACCUCCCUUCCCUUCUCUCACCUAUGCAUCUUCCCAGGAAGUCAUCUCUGCACGAAAGAUAAAUUGAAAUGUAUUGUACAGUGUUCAUUAUUACUAUUUUAAGAGCUAUUUAAUUGCCACUUUAAGGUCUUUGACAUUCUCUUUUCCAGUCUUUCUGUUUUAUUUAUCUGAAUGUUUAAAUAUAUAUUAAGAACUUUCAAAAAUACACCUGCCCUCAGGUGAAUUCUCAGUUCCCUCAUAUUCCUCAACCAUGAAUUAUUCUACUACAAGAGCUUUGUGAAUUCUAAUGCUGAUGGCUGAGGAAGGAUUUCUGUACUUUUUAUGUGUACUUUCUUGGAUCAAGAAUAAAACCUUGAAAUGAAAUUAAUGUUGUAAAUGAGCUUUGUCAUAACCUUCCUAGAUGGAAAAUACUUA